rnacentral:lncRNA from 1 species
AUUCUCCACGCUUCCGUCUUUUCCUUUUUUCUCUUCAUUUCUUACUAUAGACAUUUUUUCUCUUUGACUUUUCCUUUUUCAUUUUCUCUCUGUAGUCAACCAAAACCCUCGAUGAAAAUUCAUUUGAAGCUGCCCUACUGCAACUUCAUUUUUUUUCCUUCGCUAAUGAGUAAUUUCUCUAUAUGAAUGAGUAAUUUCACUUCCAUUAUAAUAGAAGGUAUGUACUCCAUCUAAUUUCUUGGCAUUAAAGUCGUGUCAAGGUGAUAUAACUGUUCCUCGAUUCAUCAAAUAUGGUUCAAGUGUCCAGCCUUGAAGACUUCUGUUCCAUGACGGUUGUGAAAACAUAUUUGUUGAAGCAUACAUCCUUGUGAGUUUUAGAUUUUUUAUAUUUUUUUAUUCCUUCCCAAUAGUGUGAUAAUUGAGUGAUUCAAGUUUUCCCUCUGGGUGAUUUUAUAUCCCAAGGUUUUUAUUGAUCUGUAAUGGAGAUGGAAAUUGUAAUGGAGUUGACAAUGGAUUGAAGGUCGAGGAAGAUGUCGAGUUUGGAUUGGGAUGUUUUACCUCUGGAACCUCCCAAGGUAAUUCCUUGUUUUUUGUCGAUUUGAUGAAAAAAUUGAACUUUUUUGGUAUGAAAUAAUUUCUUAUUCUUGUGUAUUUAAUUUGUAUUUUGGAGGGUUUAAAAUAUUUUUUUGAAUCUAAUGAACUUUCUUAUUGUUUUGUGAUCUAUACAACAUAUCUAGCUUUAGUAGAAAACAAUCAACUUGAGAAAUUCUUUGAUAAAUAAAUCAUUUAUAAAUUUAUCAUAUUCAAGCUAAAGAUAUAUGUUAAUGCUUCUUUUUUGUAUUACAAAUUACGAAUUUUCGGAAGAAAACAUUAUUUUCUCGGUAAAGAAAUUUACAUCAGAAACUAUUUUUGGCUUCUUGAUGUUUGAAUUCAUGUACUAGUACUAGUUCGGUGAUGUCAAGAUUAACGAUCACAAUAUUAAACAUUGGUAUAUUAUAGAGAUAAUUCCUUCUCGUCGUAUUUUUUUUUUUAGGUACAUCCUAUGAUCUUUGUUCCGCAAUGAUGAUUAACACUUAUCCACAAGAUUGAAAUUUGGUAUUUGAUUACUUUGCCCUUUCUCCAUUCUACGGCUACAUGUGCAAUGACGAGCAACUCCAACUCCGCUCCAUACACCCUUUUGACUACGUCCAACUCUUGUGAGUAGAUAAUAUGUACAUAUAAAUUCAUGCUUACAUAGCGGAAUGAUUUGUGUAUUUAUAUAUAUUGCCUUUUCUCCUAAUUUGGAUGUCAUAAUUUGCCAUUUUCUUCUAAAAAUUUGUCUUCCGUAGCUAAAUUAUAGUUUUACUUAAUUGGUAAAUUUGAAUCGUACUAUAUGGUUCAAUUCGAAGCUAAAAUGAUCAGGG